AAUAAAGUGCCUGAUAAAAGGAUUACCUUGAUAGGGUAAACUAUGUAAUUAUAAUUACCUUUAUUG
rnacentral:tRNA from 1 species